GUGCUCACUUCAGUAGCACGUAUACUAAAUUUGGAAUGAUACAGAGAAGAUUAGCAUGGGCACUGUGCAAGGAUGACAAGCAAAUUUGUGAAGCAUUCCAUAUUUUA
rnacentral:snRNA from 1 species